GGGCUGCAAGCAGUAGGGGGCGAGCCUUCGCCCGGCUGAGGGGCCGGGUACUGCGUGCCCGGAAAGGUGGUCCGGGCCUCGAAGAGAGCUUUCGGAGGGAGGGCCGUCGGGCCAGCCGCUGUGUUCGGCUUCUUACUCAAUAAUAAUAAUUAACAAGUCUACACUUCCACGUUCUCUUGCUCGUGUAGUGCCAGGCACUGUUAGAGACUUUGAAUAAUAAUGCAAGUACUUAUUGUAAACAUGAUGUUUAUGGUGACUGAUACGUGCUAGGCACUAUGACAGAUCGUAAAUGAUAAUUAUAAAUAUAAUAAACUACCAAAUUAUUAUUUACUUAUUUUUUUGCCACUCUGGUGAUGCUUUCAAUAACAACAAACAACUGUCAUAAAUAAAAGCUGCUCCACAUUAAAUCUUUGCCAUGCAACCAGCACCGUCCUGGAUCCUUCGCUAAUAGACACCAUUUAUUCAUGCAACAAAGGCUACAGAAUACAAUGAUGAGAAAAAUUUACCUUAUUCCACCUUCCUGCUAGAAUCGAGUGAAGAGACAUCCUUUGAAUACUGAGGCUGGCUUGCUAGAGCAGCAAUUCAUUCCCUCACCACAGUGAGGACGGCACUGUGCAGUCUCCUCCCGUUGUUUACUUUUCAAGAGUCAGACAGCAAUCUCAUCAUCAUUCCUUCAGGCCCUCUGCCAUGCUGCCCUGCUUUGGAGCUAGCUGACAAUGGACUGAAAUCUCUACAAACUGAGAUGCCAGGGCUCACAGAGGUGAAACCAUUUAUCAGGACCACCAGGACACUAGCGCUGUGGAAGAAACGCACCUGAGAUCGGAGGUGCAUGGGGCAAUAAUGAUCUAAUAAUAACAAAAACUGCAGCUGCUGCUGGCCAAGGGAUUCACAUGAAGCUCUCACACAUCUUGCAACAAUGAAGCAGUGACACCAGUAUUUUCCUUGGUGCACAGAUAAGGAGCCUGAGGCACAGGGAGAUCUAUUAGCCCAAGAGCACGUAGCAAGGGCUUACGGCACAGCAGGGACUCAACAGAUGUAAGAGCGAGUGAAGAAAUGAAGGAACGAAUGCAUGAAUAAAGAUCCAGGAUCACCAGUGGUGGAAGUUUCAGGACAAACUUGUGCAUAGGAUUUGUAAAAACCCUUGGAAGACCCAGCAGCUCAAACCCACCCUGGAUGGCGGAUGGGGCAGUCAAAGUCAGAAGUUCCUGACCAUUUUCCAAAAAGGGUUUGGAGGCCCCUCCAGAAUUAGGCAGAAGGACAUGGGAAGGGCUUUCUCCUCUGCUGAGGGUCUCAGGAACCUAGGUGUCUGUUGCAAGUUUGCACAGCAGGG
rnacentral:lncRNA from 1 species